GCCGAAGACGACACUGGGUCAACAUAAGGGGAUGGAGGGAGGGUGCAAGUAUAUUCGCUAUUGUGACCAUAUGGAUGAUCCAAAACCUUUUUACAGUAUGUAGGCUCAGGUUCACCCUGAGGAGGCAACUAAAACACCCCGCAUCGAGCAUCCUGCCCUACUGAGGUGCACAUUUGGGCUGCGUAAUGGCUGAUAAAGGGGUCCAGCCAUGGGCAUAAAAUAGAUCCUAAAUGCUGCAUGCUACUAGAGAAUAGACUGCCACUCAGACUUAACUGGAGUCUUAUUAAUUCGGUGUUGGAGUUAAUUUUCAUCUUGGAGGCCUGAGUGGAAACAGAAUACAUUAUGGAAAACCCCAGCUAUCUGUCAAGUUGGCUAGAGCGGGCAGCACAUGUUCCUGUGGAUUCAGAUGGCCAGUCAAGGAGAUCUCUCAGCAGAGAACCCCUCAGACUGACAGUUGCAUGCUGGGACAUCACUAUGAAUCAACCCUCACCAAUGCUUUGAUGCCACCAAAACACGAAGGA
ensembl:lncRNA